GACAAGUGGUUGAGGUGCCUAUUUAACACAUCAGAGUUAUUUAACACUAACUUGUUCGGAUUUCCUACAGACAACAGACAGAAACCAAGAUCCAGUAAAAGACAGCGCCUGUGCCUGGCAUGGGGAGAAAAGGAGCCAGCUGUUUGGGCAAGGAACAGGACUCUGAAGUUGUCAUACCUUUCCUGUGGAAGUCAGAAGAGGGCAUCGAAGACCAUGGAACCAGGGAUCUGGAGUUACAGAAGAUUCCAAGCCGUCUGUGGGUGCUGAGAACUGAUCCCAAUCCUUUGCAAGACCAACAAGUGCUAUUAACUGAUGAGCCAUCCUCUCCAGCCUUAACAACUCACAUAGUUUUGUUAUGUCCAAAAAUUUCAACCCGUGAGCUGUGGGCUGUGGUUUUAAGCAGCUGCUCAGUGUUGUAAAUCUUUACUCAUUACUCAGCCUGUCCUGGGGUGUACGGGUGGCGUGGUGGUCAGUGUCUGAUCUGAAUGGUUGAAUGUUUUUUGAUUACUCUAGUCGUACACAGAUCUAGGUGUGCAUAGCUCAGUGGUGAACUUAGGUGGAAAGACCACCUCCUUGGCCUCUCCAGUACUUUCCAAGUCCCUAUUAUUCCCCAUUUUGGUUCUCUUGCCAUCAAGUGAAAUAGUUACCGAGCUGUGCUGUACACUCCUGUAACUGCUUGCAUUCAGAACCAAGCAGCAAAAGACUAGAGAGAAGAGCAGCAUGGGCUUGUGGCAGCCUCUCCGUAUUUCUUCUCAGAGGCUCCAUGGUGGCCUCUGGCACCAUCCAGCUGCUUGGAAGCUGGAGCAUAAGGUAACAGAGAGAAACCCUGGGGAUUUGUGCACUUUCUCUGAGCUGCUGUCAGGAGCUUGAGGGGCUUCACUGGGAGCCGGGAUGGUUAAUACUGACUAUUCAGUUGCCAAUGACUAGAAACACGAGGGAGGAGACAAACCUAGGAACUCUGUGAAAGAGUUGAAGUGUAUUACUUGAGUAAGAAGACCCUUCCUAAAUGUGGGAGGUGCUGGUCCAUUGUCUGGAGGCCAGGAAGACAGUGGAGCCCACACGAAAAUUCAUUCCUCUCCGCUUCCUGGCUGAGGAUGCCAUGUGACCAGUUACCCUCCCUUCCCCCUGCUGCCAUGCCUUUCCUGCCCUGACAGACUGUACCCUCAAACUAUGAGCCAAAAUAAACCUUACCUUCCUCAAGCUACUGUUCCCA
rnacentral:lncRNA from 1 species